UUGAGUUGUUUUUUUGGGCAAAGCAAAAGAUAAAGGAACUGAGAAAUGAAAUUGACCAAAUUAUGCUGUGUCCAUAUACCACAGCUGUUGCCUCCCAUGUUGGAAGAAACCCCCAAAUGCAGAAGACUUACACAGGCCUUGGUUCAGAGGAGGCCUCUGGCCACGAAACAGUGCUGUGCCAAAUGAAAAUUCCAACGAAGAUUGCUGUCAAGUCAUAAUAGAGGUGGUAUCCAUUGAUGAGGGAGAAGACCCAAAAAAUUACAUUGUUCAGGUAGCCUCUGCAGCAAAUGAGCAAAUUCCCCCAAAUGACAUGGUGGAGUUCAUUCCUGGAGAAAGCAUGGGUCAGGAGGCUCCAUCAAAAGCCAUGG